rnacentral:rRNA from 1 species
UUUAACUGAAGAGUUUGAUCAUGGCUCAGAUUGAACGCUGGCGGCAGGCUUAACACAUGCAAGUCGAGCGGGGGAAGGUAGCUUGCUACCGGACCUAGCGGCGGACGGGUGAGUAAUGCUUAGGAAUCUGCCUAUUAGUGGGGGACAACAUCUCGAAAGG